CCUACACGACCGUACCGCAAACCGACACUGGUGCGCGAGAUGAGUAUUCUAAGGCGCUUGAGAGAACUCAGGAGAAGGAACUCGGCAAAUUGACACCGUAACUUCGGAAGAAGGUGUGCCUUUAGUAGGUGAACCAUUUACUUGGGGAGCCCAAUGAGGCUGCAAAAAAUCGGUGGCUGCAACUGUUUAUUAAAAACACAGCACUCUGCUAAGACGAAAGUCGACGUAUAGGGUGUGACGCCUGCCCGGUGCUGGAAGAUUAAAUGAUGGGGUGCAAGCUCUUGAUUGAAGUCCCAGUAAACGGCGGCCGUAACUAUAACGGUCCUAAGGUAGCGAAAUUCCUUGUCGGGUAAGUUCCGACCUGCACGAAUGGCGUAAUGAUGGCCACACUGUCUCCUCCUGAGACUCAGCGAAGUUGAAAUGUUUGUGAUGAUGCAAUCUCCCCGCGGAAAGACGGAAAGACCCCAUGAACCUUUACUGUAGCUUUGUAUUGGACUUUGAACAGAUCUGUGUAGGAUAGGUGGGAGGCUUUGAAGUGUGGUCGCUAGAUCGCAUGGAGCCAACGUUGAAAUACCACCCUGGUGUGUUUGAGGUUCUAACCUAGGUCCAUUAUCUGGAUCGGGGACAGUGCAUGGUAGGCAGUUUGACUGGGGCGGUCUCCUCCCAAAGUGUAACGGAGGAGUUCGAAGGUACGCUAGGUACGGUCGGACAUCGUGCUAAUAGUGCAAUGGCAUAAGCGUGCUUAACUGCGAGACUGACAAGUCGAGCAGAUGCGAAAGCAGGACAUAGUGAUCCGGUGGUUCUGUAUGGAAGGGCCAUCGCUCAACGGAUAAAAGGUACUCUGGAUAACAGGCUGAUACCGCCCAAGAGUUCAUAUCGACGGCGGUGUUUGGCACCUCGAUGUCGGCUCAUCUCAUCCUGGGGCUGUAGCCGGUCCCAAGGGUAUGGCUGUUCGCCAUUUAAAGAGGUACGUGAGCUGGGUUUAAAACGUCGUGAGACAGUUUGGUCCCUAUCUUCCGUGGGCGCUGCAGAUUUGAGGAAGCCUGCUCCUAGUACGAGAGGACCGGAGUGGACGAACCUCUGGUGUAUCGGUUGUCACGCCAGUGGCAUUGCCGAGUAGCUAAGUUCGGAAGAGAUAACCGCUGAAAGCAUCUAAGCGGGAAACUCGUUUCAAGAUUAGAUCUGCCGGGGCCUUGAGCCCCCUAAAGAGUCGUUCAAGACCAGGACGUUGAUAGGUCAGGUGUGGAAGCGAAA
rnacentral:rRNA from 1 species